AGUCAAGUAAUUAAGUGCAUGUGGUGGAUGCCUUGGCAGUCAGAGGCGAUGAAAGACGUGAUAGCCUGCGAAAAGCUCCGGGGAGGCGGCAAAUAUCCUUUGAUCCGGAGAUGUCUGAAUGGGGGAACCCACCUACUUUAAGGUAGGUAUUGCAACAUGAAUACAUAGUGUUGCAAGGCGAACGAGGGGAAGUGAAACAUCUCAGUACCCUUAGGAAAAGAAAUCAAUUGAGAUUCCCUCAGUAGCGGCGAGCGAACGGGGAUCAGCCCAUUAAGUUAUGUGUGUUUUAGUGGAACGCUCUGGGAAGUGCGAACGUAGAGGGUGAUAUUCCCGUACACGAAAGGGCACACAUAAUGAUGACGAGUAGGGCGAGGCACGUGAAACCUUGUCUGAAUAUGGGGGGACCAUCCUCCAAGGCUAAAUACUCCUGACUGACCGAUAGUGAACCAGUACCGUGAGGGAAAGGCGAAAAGAACCCCUGUGAGGGGAGUGAAAUAGAUCCUGAAACCGCAUGCAUACAAGCAGUGGGAGCACCUUCGUGGUGUGACUGCGUACCUUUUGUAUAAUGGGUCAGCGACUUAUAUUCAGUAGCAAGGUUAACCGUAUAGGGGAGCCGUAGAGAAAUCGAGUCUUAAUAGGGCGUUUAGUUGCUGGGUAUAGACCCGAAACCAGGCGAUCUAUCCAUGAGCAGGUUGAAGGUUGGGUAACACUAACUGGAGGACCGAACCCACUGUCGUUGAAAAGCCAGGGGAUGACUUGUGGAUAGGGGUGAAAGGCUAAUCAAGCCUGGUGAUAGCUGGUUCUCCCCGAAAGCUAUUUAGGUAGCGCCUCGGACGAAUACCAUAGGGGGUAGAGCACUGUUUCGGCUAGGGGGUCAUCCCGACUUACCAAACCGAUGCAAACUCCGAAUACCUAUGAGUACUAUCCGGGAGACAGACUGCGGGUGCUAACGUCCGUAGUCAAGAGGAAAACAAUCCAGACCGCCAGCUAAGGCCCCAAAAUCAUAGUUAAGUGGGAAACGAUGUGGGAAGGCAUAGACAGCUAGGAGGUUGGCUUAGAAGCAGCCACCCUUUAAAGAAAGCGUAAUAGCUCACUAGUCGAGUCGGCCUGCGCGGAAGAUGUAACGGGGCUAAAACUAUGUGCCGAAGCUGCGGAUGUAUACUUUGUAUACGUGGUAGGGGAGCGUUCUGUAAGCCGAUGAAGGUGUGUUGAGAAGCAUGCUGGAGGUAUCAGAAGUGCGAAUGCUGACGUGAGUAACGACAAAACGGGUGAAAAACCCGUUCGCCGAAAGACCAAGGGUUCCAGUCCAACGUUAAUCGGGGCUGGGUGAGUCGACCCCUAAGGCGAGGCCGAAAGGCGUAGUCGAUGGGAAAAUGGUUAAUAUUCCAUUACUUCUGUGUAAUGCGAUGAGAGGACGGAGAAGGCUAAAUCAGCCUGGCGUUGGUUGUCCAGGUGAAAGGAUGUAGGCAUGUAUCUUAGGCAAAUCCGGGGUACUCUAUGCUGAGAUCUGAUAGCAAGCUGUACUUGUACAGCGAAGUGGUUGAUGCCAUGCUUCCAGGAAAAGUCUCUAAGCUUCAGUUACACAGGAAUCGUACCCGAAACCGACACAGGUGGUCAGGUCGAGUAGACCAAGGCGCUUGAGAGAACUCUGCUGAAGGAACUAGGCAAAAUGGUACCGUAACUUCGGGAGAAGGUACGCUGUUGUUGGUGAUGGAACUCGCUUCCUGAGCUGACGACAGCCGCAGAAACCAGGCCGCUGCAACUGUUUAUUAAAAACAUAGCACUCUGCAAACACGAAAGUGGACGUAUAGGGUGUGAUGCCUGCCCGGUGCUGGAAGGUUAAUUGAUGGGGUUAGCGUAAGCGAAGCUCUUGAUCGAAGCCCCAGUAAACGGCGGCCGUAACUAUAACGGUCCUAAGGUAGCGAAAUUCCUUGUCGGGUAAGUUCCGACCUGCACGAAUGGCAUAAUGAUGGCGGCGCUGUCUCCAGCAGAGGCUCAGUGAAAUCGAAAUCGCUGUGAAGAUGCAGUGUACCCGCGGCUAGACGGAAAGACCCCGUGAACCUUUACUGCAGCUUGACACUGAACUUUGACCUUACUUGUGUAGGAUAGGUGGGAGGCUUUGAAGCUGGAACGCUAGUUCCAGUGGAGCCGUCCUUGAAAUACCACCCUGGUAAUGUUGAGGUUCUAACUCUGUCCCGUGAUCCGGGACGAGGACCGUGUCUGGUGGGUAGUUUGACUGGGGCGGUCUCCUCCUAAAGAGUAACGGAGGAGUACGAAGGUGCGCUCAGCGUGGUCGGAAAUCACGCGUAGAGUANUAAAGGCAAAAGCGCGCUUAACUGCGACGACCCACAAGUCGAGCAGGUACGAAAGUAGGUCUUAGUGAUCCGGUGGUUCUGUAUGGAAGGGCCAUCGCUCAACGGAUAAAAGGUACUCUGGGGAUAACAGGCUGAUACCGCCCAAGAGUUCAUAUCGACGGCGGUGUUUGGCACCUCGAUGUCGGCUCAUCUCAUCCUGGGGCUGAAGCAGGUCCCAAGGGUAUGGCUGUUCGCCAUUUAAAGAGGUACGCGAGCUGGGUUUAGAACGUCGUGAGACAGUUCGGUCCCUAUCUACCGUGGGCGCUGGAAAUUUGAGAGGAUCUGCUCCUAGUACGAGAGGACCAGAGUGGACGAACCUCUGGUGUACCGGUUGUGACGCCAGUCGCAUCGCCGGGUAGCUAUGUUCGGAAGGGAUAACCGCUGAAAGCAUCUAAGCGGGAAGCCUACCUCAAGAUAAGAUUUCCCUAGGACUUUAUGUCCUCUAAAGAGCCGUUCGAGACUAGGACGUUGAUAGGUUGGAUGUGGAAGCAUAGUGAUAUGUGAAGCUGACCAAUACUAAUUGCUCGUGAGGCUUGACUAU
rnacentral:rRNA from 1 species